rnacentral:rRNA from 1 species
AACGAACGUUGGCGGCGUGGAUUAGGCAUGCAAGUCGAACGAAGACAGUCCUAGUAGCAAUACCGGGGCUGGACUGAGUGGCGAAAGGGGCAGUAAUGCGUGGGUAACGUACCCCGGGGAUGGGCAUAGCCACGGGAAACCGUGGGUAAUUCCCAGCGAUCUGGCCGAGGGACAUCCCUUGACCAGGAAACGAAUUUCGCCUCGGGAGCGGCUCACGUCGUAUUAGCUUGUUGGCGGGGUAAUGGCCCACCAAGGCAAAGAUGCGUAGCGGGAGUGAGAGCACGACCCGCGCCACUGGCACUGAGACACUGGCCAGACACCUACGGGUGGCUGCAGUCGAGGAUCUUCGGCAAUGAGCGCAAGCUUGACCGAGCGACGCCGCGUGUGGGACGAAGGCCUUCGGGUUGUAAACCACUGUCGAGGGGGAGGAAGCCGCAAGGUUGACCUAUCCCUGGAGGAAGCACGGGCUAAGUUCGUGCCAGCAGCCGCGGUAAAAC